UACAGAGGUCCCGAGCGUUGUUCGGAUUUACUGGGCGUAAAGGGCGCGUAGGCGGCCAGCACAAGUCGGUUGUGAAAUCUCCGGGCUUAACUCGGAAAGGUCAACCGAUACUGUGCGGCUAGAGUGCGGAAGGGGCAACUGGAAUUCUCGGUGUAGCGGUGAAAUGCGCAGAUAUCGGGAGGAACACCAAUGGCGAAGGCAGCUCGCUGGGACGUUACUGACGCUGAGACGCGAAAGCGUGGGGAGCAAACAGG
rnacentral:rRNA from 1 species